CCCCUUUUAGUCUGAAAAUUGAUAUCUCUUGUUCAUAUCAGACGAGUGUUUCGCCUUGAGAACGGAAAAAAAAAUACAAAAGCCAUGCUGCUCAAACUGGAAUAUAACGAUGACUAUUACGUGCACGCGUAUGUGGAUCUAGGAUUCCUGUACUGGAAUGCCAAAGAUAUCUUGACUCUCUUGCCUACGAACGUCUCGCAUACGACGAGUGUUCUCCAAGUCUUUUUUCCUAAUCGACACCAUUUUCUUCGACUAGGCGAUUUGGACAACUACUCCAAAGAAUGGGGUCAACCGAACCAGAUUGUCCUCACUUCGAAUGAAGCGGCCUUCGUCGCUUCGAAAUCCCUGCAUAACAAGUCGCUCUUCCCUUGGAUGUGUAAAAUAUUCAUGAGACCUCUGACGAAAAUUGAGGAGGACGGGGAAACGUAUAUCACCCUCCGAGAGACUGUGCAAGACGAACAAGAAAGGAAAAAGAGUCCUCUCUUUUUCAUCACUCAAUUCGGGAUCCAUCAUCUCCCCAAAAUCAUCCAGAGACAUCAAGCCUUCGUUGAAAAGUAUCAGAAAGA
rnacentral:lncRNA from 1 species